rnacentral:rRNA from 1 species
UUUGAUGAACGCUAGCUACAGGCUUAACACAUGCAAGUCGAGGGGCAGCAUCAUCAAAGCUUGCUUUGAUGGAUGGCGACCGGCGCACGGGUGAGUAACACGUAUCCAACCUGCCGACAACACUGGGAUAGCCUUUCGAAAGAAAGAUUAAUACCGGAUGGCAUAGUUUUCCCGCAUGGGAUAAUUAUUAAAGAAUUUCGGUUGUCGAUGGGGAUGCGUUCCAUUAGGCAGUUGGCGGGGUAACGGCCCACCAAACCAACGAUGGAUAGGGGUUCUGAGAGGAAGGUCCCCCACAUUGGAACUGAGACACGGUCCAAACUCCUACGGGAGGCAGCAGUGAGGAAUAUUGGUCAAUGGACGAGAGUCUGAACCAGCCAAGUAGCGUGAAGGAUGACUGCCCUAUGGGUUGUAAACUUCUUUUAUACGGGAAUAAAGUGAGCCACGUGUGGCUUUUUGUAUGUACCGUAUGAAUAAGGAUCGGCUAACUCCGUGCCAGCAGCCGCGGUAAUACGGAGGAUCCGAGCGUUAUCCGGAUUUAUUGGGUUUAAAGGGAGCGUAGGCGGGUUGUUAAGUCAGUUGUGAAAGUUUGCGGCUCAACCGUAAAAUUGCAGUUGAUACUGGCGACCUUGAGUGCAACAGAGGUAGGCGGAAUUCGUGGUGUAGCGGUGAAAUGCUUGGAUAUCACGAAGAACUCCGAUUGCGAAGGCAGCUUACUGGAUUGUAACUGACGCUGAUGCUCGAAAGUGUGGGUAUCAAACAGGAUUAGAUACCCUGGUAGUCCACACAGUAAACGAUGAAUACUCGCUGUUGGCGAUAUACAGUCAGCGGCCAAGCGAAAGCAUUAAGUAUUCCACCUGGGGAGUACGCCGGCAACGGUGAAACUCAAAGGAAUUGACGGGGGCCCGCACAAGCGGAGGAACAUGUGGUUUAAUUCGAUGAUACGCGAGGAACCUUACCCGGGCUUAAAUUGCAACUGACUGAACCGGAAACGGUUCUUUCUUCGGACAGUUGUGAAGGUGCUGCAUGGUUGUCGUCAGCUCGUGCCGUGAGGUGUCGGCUUAAGUGCCAUAACGAGCGCAACCCUUACGGGUAGUUACCAUCAGGUUAUGCUGGGGACUCUACCCGGACUGCCGUCGUAAGAUGUGAGGAAGGUGGGGAUGACGUCAAAUCAGCACGGCCCUUACGUCCGGGGCUACACACGUGUUACAAUGGGGGGUACAGAAGGCAGCUACACGGCGACGUGGUGCUAAUCCCGAAAGCCUCUCUCAGUUCGGAUUGGAGUCUGCAACCCGACUCCAUGAAGCUGGAUUCGCUAGUAAUCGCGCAUCAGCCACGGCGCGGUGAAUACGUUCCCGGGCCUUGUACACACCGCCCGUCAAGCCAUGAAAGCCGGGGGUACCUGAAGUACGUAACCGCGAGGAGCGUCCUAGGGUAAAA